UACGUAUGGUGCAAGCGAUAUCCGGAUUUACUGGGUGUAAAGGGAGCGUAGGCGGGAUGGCAAGUUGGGUGUUAAAUCUACCGGCUCAACUGGUAGUCGCACUCAAAACUGCUAUUCUUGAGUGAAGUAGAGGCAGGCGGAAUUCCUAGUGUAGCGGUGAAAUGCGUAGAUAUUAGGAGGAACACCAGUGGCGAAGGCGGCCUGCUGGACAGCAACUGACGCUGAGGUUCGAAAGCGUGGGUAGCAAACAGG
rnacentral:rRNA from 1 species